UUACGAGCUGCUACGGCAGCGAAGUGGGUGAUGUCAAGCUUCCUAGAAGAGCCCUAUACCCGUUAAGGCAUGAUGGCCUGUACCCGAAACAGACACAGGUGGGGUGGUAGAGAAUACCGAGGGGCGCGAGAUAACUCUCUCUAAGGAACUCGGCAAAAUGGCCCCGUAACUUCGGGAGAAGGGGUGCCACCGCAAGGUGGUCCCAGUGAAGAGGCCCAGGCGACUGUUUACCAAAAACACAGGUCUCCGCUAAGUCACAAGACGAUGUAUGGGGGCUGACGCCUGCCCAGUGCCGGAAGGUUAAGGAAGCUGGUCAGCGUAAGCGAAGCUAGCGACUGAAGCCCCGGUGAACGGCGGCCGUAACUAUAACGGUCCUAAGGUAGCGAAAUUCCUUGUCGGGUAAGUUCCGACCCGCACGAAAGGCGUAACGAUCUGGGCGCUGUCUCGGAGAGAGGCUCGGCGAAAUAGAAUUGUCUGUGAAGAUGCGGACUACGUGCACCCGGACAGAAAGACCCUAUGAAGCUUUACUGUAGCUUGGUAUUGUGCCCGGGCUCUGAAUGCGCAGGAUAGGUGGGAGGCUUUGAUCCAUUGCUUGUGGGUGAUGGUGAGCCAACGGUGAGAUACCACUCUUUCAGAGCUAGGGUUCUAACGGUCACCCGUCAUCCGGGGACCGGACAGUAUCAGGUGGGCAGUUUGACUGGGGCGGUCGCCUCCUAAAAGGUAACGGAGGCGCGCAAAGGUUUGCUCAGGCUGGUUGGAAAUCAGCCGACGAGUGUAAAAGCAGAAGCAAGCUUGACUGUGAGACCUACAAGUCGAACAGGGACGAAAGUCGGCUUUAGUGAUCCGACGGUUCUGAGUGGAAGGGCCGUCGCUCAACGGAUAAAAGUUACUCUAAGGAUAACAGGCUGAUCUCCCCCAAGAGUUCACAUCGACGGGGAGGUUUGGCACCUCGAUGUCGGCUCAUCGCAACCUGGGGCUGAAGUCGGUCCCAAGGGUUGGGCUGUUCGCCCAUUAAAGCGGUACGCGAGCUGGGUUCAGAACGUCGUGAGACAGUUCGGUCCAUAUCCGGUGCAUGCGCAGGAAUAUUGAGAGGAUUUCUCCCUAGUACGAGAGGACCGGGAGGAACGCACCUCUGGUGUGCCAGUUAUCGUGCCAACGGUAAACGCUGGGUAGCCAUGUGCGGAGAGGAUAACCGCUGAAAGCAUCUAAGUGGGAAGCCCACCUCAAGAUGAGUAUUCCCAUGGCGUUAGCCAGUAAGGUCACGGGCAGAACACCCGUUGAUAGGCUCUACGUGGAAGCCGGGUAACCGGUGAAGCGGAGGAGUACUAAUAGACCGAGGGCUU
rnacentral:rRNA from 1 species